AACAAGGUCUCCGUUGGUGAACCAGCGGAGGGAUCAUUACUGAGUUUACGCUCUACAACCCUUUGUGAACAUACCUAUAACUGUUGCUUCGGCGGGUAGGGUCUCCGUGACCCUCCCGGCCUCCCGCCCCCGGGCGGGUCGGCGCCCGCCGGAGGAUAACCAAACUCUGAUUUAACGACGUUUCUUCUGAGUGGUACAAGCAAAUAAUCAAAACUUUUAACAACGGAUCUCUUGGUUCUGGCAUCGAUGAAGAACGCAGCGAAAUGCGAUAAGUAAUGUGAAUUGCAGAAUUCAGUGAAUCAUCGAAUCUUUGAACGCACAUUGCGCCCGCCAGCAUUCUGGCGGGCAUGCCUGUUCGAGCGUCAUUUCAACCCUCAAGCUCUGCUUGGUGUUGGGGCCCUACAGCUGAUGUAGGCCCUCAAAGGUAGUGGCGGACCCUCCCGGAGCCUCCUUUGCGUAGUAACUUUACGUCUCGCACUGGGAUCCGGAGGGACUCUUGCCGUAAAACCCCCAAUUUUCCAAAGGUUGACCUCGGAUCAGGUAGGAAUACCCGCUGAACUUAAGCAUAUC
rnacentral:rRNA from 1 species